rnacentral:rRNA from 1 species
GACGAACCGAGCGAACGUUAUUCGGAAUCACUGGGCUUAAAGGGUGCGUAGGCGGGCCCGUCAGUCAGGGGUGAAAUCCCACGGCCCAACCGUGGAAGUGCCUCUGAUACUGCGGGCCUGGAGGGGGAUAGGGGCGUGCGGAACUUCCGGUGGAGCGGUGAAAUGCGUAGAUAUCGUAAGGAACACCGGUGGCGAAAGCGGCGCGCUGGAUCCCUACUGACGCUGAGGCACGAAAGCCAGGGGAGCAAACGGG